rnacentral:rRNA from 1 species
AGCGGCGGAUGGGUGAGUAACACGUGGGGAACCUGCCCCUAAGUCUGGGAUACCAUUUGGAAACAGGUGCUAAUACCGGAUAAUAAAGCAGAUCGCAUGAUCAGCUUUUGAAAGGCGGCGUAAGCUGUCGCUAAGGGAUGGCCCCGCGGUGCAUUAGCUAGUUGGUAAGGUAACGGCUUACCAAAGCGACGAUGCAUAGCCGAGUUGAGAGACUGAUCGGCCACAUUGGGACUGAGACACGGCCCAAACUCCUACGGGAGGCAGCAGUAGGGAAUCUUCCACAAUGGACGCAAGUCUGAUGGAGCAACGCCGCGUGAGUGAAGAAGGUUUUCGGAUCGUAAAGCUCUGUUGUUGGUGAAGAAGGAUAGAGGUAGUAACUGGCCUUCAUUUGACGGUAAUCAACCAGAAAGUCACGGCUAACUACGUGCCAGCAGCCGCGGUAAUACGUAGGUGGCAAGCGUUGUCCGGAUUUAUUGGGCGUAAAGCGAGCGCAGGCGGAAAAAUAAGUCUAAUGUGAAAGCCCUCGGCUUAACCGAGGAACUGCAUCGGAAACUGUUUUUCUUGAGUGCAGAAGAGGAGAGUGGAACUCCAUGUGUAGCGGUGGAAUGCGUAGAUAUAUGGAAGAACACCAGUGGCGAAGGCGGCUCUCUGGUCUGCAACUGACGCUGAGGCUCGAAAGCAUGGGUAGCGAACAGGAUUAGAUACCCUGGUAGUCCAUGCCGUAAACGAUGAGUGCUAAGUGU